CUCCAACAGUAGCCCCGACCAGUGCAACAAACAGCAACACGGGCAUGUUGAGGAAAGAGUUGUCCGCGGCGGCCUCACAUGUUUGAGCCAUGGCUUCAGCAGUCAUGAAAGCAUUAGUCACCAGCCCAAUCGCCGAGGAUCGCAAAAAGAAUGUUCCCCCCUGCAAUGUACAUUGUGAUUCUUCACAUUCUACUAUCCAUAGAUCAUAUCAUGAUCUUACAAAAACCAAGACAUCAGAGAUAAACAAACGAAGGGCCGGGACUCACCAUCCUACCUGAUGAGCAGACGAACGUCGAAGUAGCACGUCCUCAUGUUGUCGAUUCGGCAGAUGCUUUGAGUUAAGCCGAGCGAUAGACUGUAUGGCUGGUGGUGCAUACCUAGAUGAUAACAAGGCUAACUUGUCUACUUUGAGUAAUGCACCACAAGGCAGCUUCCCUGGAUAGAUCACACAAUGAAAGAGAAAAGUUUAAAACAUAUACCAUUCUGUUAGUUAAUAAUAUAAACCAAUCUCGAACCUGUCCUUGCAAUUCGAAUUAUUGGGAGGCAAUGGUUCAUGACAAAUUCAUCCGGCCAUCAUAAAGAGACGAAAUCCUAGGUAAAAUUUUCAAAACUAAAGCUUUGGUCCAGUGUAUUUUUGAAUUUCGCCUGCGUUCAACUCACUCCAAAGCUGAGAAAAAUUCCCAAAAUCUCAGAGCCAGAAAAGCCAGAAUAGCAUUCUUAUACCAUACUAGUUCAGUUCCCAGUCUGAAAUCAGAACAAAACCCAGUUCCGUAUUCUAAGCAAAGGCGCUUCUUUUACACUGUAAUUUCACUCGGGAUUAACUUCAAACUACGCAAGACAUUGGAAUUCUUCAACCAAAUUUGUAUAAUGUCAGAUGGGCAGAGGAAGAAACCAGAGGAGCUGAGUACUGACCGGAAAGAAGUGAUCUUUGAGAGGCCAAGAGGUCCGGCGGCGAAGAAGCACAGCAGCGGAUUGCCACCGCCAUGAAUGCUUUUGGUUUUC
rnacentral:lncRNA from 1 species